CAUUGAGAGGAGAUGGCAGCAAGGCUGGAUAUAGCUGUGUCUGAGCUGCAGCAGUUUUUGUUUGCCUGUCUGGUCUGCUGCAUGCCACACCUGGAAGGCCCAGCACAUUUCAAAUCUGAACGAAGUGCUGAUUUUCUGUCCACCUUUAUGAAUCAGUUCAACAUUAAAAGCCUGAUUCCUCCAAAGACCAAGCUCCUUAUGUCUGUGUAUGAUCUUAACCUCCUUGCAGCUAUACCCACAUCUAGAAUAGGGAAAGCUGUGCGGAAAGAAAACCAACUGGCCAACUGCUGAACUUCAUUCCACAUGCCAGAUCUCCAGAAUAACUGCACAGGAAGACUUCAGUUCUUCAGCAAGUUAUGGCCAACAGGGGAAUGAAGAUGACAACGUGCUUCUGGAGCACUGUGAAUGAGCAUCCAGCAU
ensembl:lncRNA